GUGGAAUAGCUGGCUUCUCCGGUCCCGACCAAGCCUCGCAGCAGGGCGAGAAGCCAGAAUUGCUGCAUAGACAAAAACAUCAAAGACAUUCAACAUGUUUUCUGUCAAGCGCACAUGGUUACAUGCACGGAGAGUCAUCAGCACAAUCAGUCUGCAGAUAAGGUACAACAAACCUCUGAUGCAUUUUCAACACAAACAUGGGGAAAUGAUCUCAGACCCCACUGAGUGUCACAGCUCCCACUCCCUGAAACUCCCUCUUAACUCUGCGCCUGUCAAAACUACAGCUGAAUGUGAUGGAGGAGUCUCUCCCCCUGUAGUUAAACCACUUCGAAGGAUAUCAAAUGUGAAUACACAAACAGACUGUUUUGUAGAAAAAGCUGCACUGAUGCAAAAAUGAAUCGCUUGAUGGGUUCCAGUGUGAUCACAGAGCGCAGCGCGCCUCCUCACCAACGUAGUUUGGUCACCUCAGACUAACUUAAUAACUUAUUGUGCCGUCCUCACUUUACUUCACUGAAACCUUUGAUACCACAGACUAUAAAAUGCUGUCAAGCGCUGGGCUGGAAUUUCCAGUGUUGAAAUCAGAAACUCUGCGUAACCUCUGCAGACCAGCUUUGUGACUUUUCUUCUCAGACGUCUCGAUCUGAUGAAACCUCACCCGACAGCUUAACAUUUGUCAGCGUGGUUAUGACACAGCUGUAUGUUUCUAUAGAGCCAGAUGACAAUAACGUUUUUUAAACCUAAUGAAGACAAAUUGUUCAUUCUUUUAAUUUAAUAAUUCAGAUUGUCUGACGGGGUGCAGGUUAACCGUCUUGGACUUUCAGUUUCUGCCUCACAAGAGUGCGACUCAGCUGAUGGAGUUUGAUGUGCAGCUGCGAGAGAACAAUGUGACUCUGAAUGGCUCUGAGGCAUGAAGACGCUAACAGGGACCUCAGUUUUGGGACGACUCGAGUUAUAUUAAGUUAGCGACAGGGCCAGCCCACUGAGGGUUGGUCAUGCAGGGUUUCACACAUAUCUGUCUUAGUGAAGCAAUGGCACAGACCAGCCAGACGUCAUGGACAUUUUCCACUUUGUGUUUCUUUUUUAAGAAACUUAGCACAAAAUAAAGCAAUAAAUGUA